AGAGUUUGAUCCUGGCUCAGAUUGAACGCUGGCGGCAGGCCUAACACAUGCAAGUCGAGCGGAUGAAGGGAGCUUGCUCCUGGAUUCAGCGGCGGACGGGUGAGUAAUGCCUAGGAAUCUGCCUGGUAGUGGGGGAUAACGUCCGGAAACGGGCGCUAAUACCGCAUACGUCCUGAGGGAGAAAGUGGGGGAUCUUCGGACCUCACGCUAUCAGAUGAGCCUAGGUCGGAUUAGCUAGUUGGUGGGGUAAAGGCCUACCAAGGCGACGAUCCGUAACUGGUCUGAGAGGAUGAUCAGUCACACUGGAACUGAGACACGGUCCAGACUCCUACGGGAGGCAGCAGUGGGGAAUAUUGGACAAUGGGCGAAAGCCUGAUCCAGCCAUGCCGCGUGUGUGAAGAAGGUCUUCGGAUUGUAAAGCACUUUAAGUUGGGAGGAAGGGCAGUAAGUUAAUACCUUGCUGUUUUGACGUUACCAACAGAAUAAGCACCGGCUAACUUCGUGCCAGCAGCCGCGGUAAUAC
rnacentral:rRNA from 1 species